rnacentral:rRNA from 1 species
UACGUAGGGUGCAAGCGUUAAUCGGAAUUACUGGGCGUAAAGCGUGCGCAGGCGGUUCGCUAAGACAGAUGUGAAAUCCCCGGGCUUAACCUGGGAACUGCAUUUGUGACUGGCGGGCUAGAGUAUAGCAGAGGGGGGUAGAAUUCCACGUGUAGCAGUGAAAUGCGUAGAGAUGUGGAGGAAUACCGAUGGCGAAGGCAGCCCCCUGGGCCAAUACUGACGCUCAUGCACGAAAGCGUGGGGAGCAAACAGG